GAGCUUGAGAGAGCAAGCUGUUUUCUCUCCCACAAAGUUCCCUUGAUCCCUAUACACAAGUGCUUAUUCUGUGUUCAUAGUGGUUGUCCUUCAGAAAAAGUUAUCUGGUGGGACAGUUAAAAUCAAGGAUUUGUUGCAGACUGGGAGACAUGCAUUCUGUUUGCAAGCUGACAAAGUCUGUUCUACAUUCUGCUCCCAGCUACGUGACCAGGUAACCUAAGAGUAUUCGGAGGCACUUGGCAGCUGUACUGUGUUUACAAAUAAGGGCCUUGGUGGGGCUUAUCUGCCUCCUGCAGGAUCUUUUUCUUUGACAGCCAAAGGCUUGAUGCUAGUGAGAUUGUUUGAAUGGCAUAAAUGCUCUUAAUGUAGAAACUAAUGUGCCAAAAUGCAUAUUAAUACAGUUUCUAGUGAGAUCUUCUAUGAAGGCAGUUUCUGCCUUCUAUUUGAACUCUUGUAGGAAUUUCUCUGUGAGAUUGAAGAGGUACAAAUAGUGCACUUACUCACUGGGAAG
ensembl:lncRNA